GGGUUUCAACAUGUCUAUUUAGGUGUCAAUAAAUUUCAAAUCAAGGAUAAUUUAGUUAUUUUAGUUUAGUGGAGCAUUAUUAAUUAGCUACGUGCCUUUUACUCCUACAGCCACCUAUCUCUUCCCUGCAAUUGAACAACGAACUCAUCCCUUUCACUCCCAACCCUAACAAAAAUUAGCCCAACAUAUUUUUGGGUCUAUUACCGGGUAGAAGCAAAGCAAGAAAACUAAAAAAGUCACCAAUCAAAGUUCGAUUUUCAAUGAAAAUGACGAUCUGAAAGCAGAAAAUUUCAACACCGAGAACGGAACUUUUCAGAGGGAAUGAUAGUUUCUUUUGAGAAAGGUAAAUCAGUGAGCUUGAAAGAGAAGCAGUUCUUGUAUGACAUUGUUGCUAAUCGGCUAAAUAGAUGUCGACAAGUAUUGACAAGAAAGCAGGGAGACGGAUCAUAUCUUUAGGAACUCCAUCAGCAGAAUCUCAGAGGCGCUCCAGUUAUUCGGAGCUGCAUUUGCUGGUAGUACUUUUUGUAUACACAGUUGGGUAUGGCAGAGUCCUGCCCUGUCCUUCUGUAUUCAUGUAUUCUAUUUAGAGGCUCGUAGACAGAUGUCUGUGGCAGGAUGUUCUUUAACUUUAUCAGUUCCUAUUGUUGUAUGAUAUUUUGGUAGCUUUAUUGCCUUAUGCAUACAGGCUUAGCUAUCGAUGAUUGCACUAAGUGCGUGUGGUCCACCUAGAAAUACUUAUGGAAUGUUAGACCAGAGGUGCUCGAUAGGCUAGUACCGUGUACCCGUCAUGGCCCUCUAGCUGGGUCGUGACAUCUACUGAGUCGAUGGUUGAGUACAAAUAGAUCUGAAAAUAAUUCAUGUUCUUAAAAGAUAUGCUGUUUCAAUUUUC